GAGCCAGUAGCUCAGUUGGUUAGAGCGCUAUCCUGAUAAGAUAGAGGUCCCUAGUUCAAAUCUAGGCUGGCUCA
rnacentral:tRNA from 1 species